UUGAACCUGAGAGUUUGAUCCUGGCUCAGAACGAACGCUGGCGGCAUGCCUAACACAUGCAAGUCGAACGAGGGCUUCGGCCCUAGUGGCGCACGGGUGAGUAACACGUGGGAACCUGCCUUUCGGUUCGGGAUAACGUCUGGAAACGGACGCUAACACCGGAUACGUCCUUCGGGAGAAAGUUUACGCCGAGAGAGGGGCCCGCGUCCGAUUAGGUAGUUGGUGGGGUAAUGGCCCACCAAGCCGACGAUCGGUAGCUGGUCUGAGAGGAU
rnacentral:rRNA from 1 species